GAGAUAACCAAUGGGAUUCCCUAAGUAAUUGCGAAUGAACAGGGAUUUGCUCAGCAUGAAAAUUGGGGCCUUCGGCUUCGAAAUGUAAUUUCAAAAUGUAUUGCUAACGGAAGUGCAGAUGCAAGCCUUUUGGAAGAAAUGCAUGAUUCAGGGUGAGAUUCCUGUUUGUCAUCUGCAAUCUUCUGUGUACGGCGUAUGUUUCAAGAGUCACGCUCCUUGGGAUUGGAGUGCAAAGUGUGUGGUAAAUUUCAUGUAAAGGUGAAUAUAUUUUUGAGUCCGAUAGCUAACAAGUACCAUGAGGGAAAUAUGAAAAGGACUUUGGAAAGAGAAUUAAAAAAGCCUGAAUUUGCUGAACAGAAAGUAAACAGAACUUGUUUCCUUGGUGAGAUUGUUGUGUGUUAGUGACAUAGGUCACCAUGCACGCAGUGGUUCUUGCCAUGUGUGUCAGCUCCAUUUUGCAAAUCAAUAAUUGUUCUAAUGUGUGGUAAUCUGCCUGUGGGUGUGUGACUGCUUUUCCUUGCGAUUAUUUGUAAAAUGGAAUGUUGUGUCUGGUGAUCUUGUGGCUGNUACCUUGACAUGUGUGCUGCAAGUGUGCACCUUCUGGAACAACCCACAAUCCCCUGAUGCACUGGUGCUGGCAAUGCUGNUUCUGCUUGACCCNUCUUGAAACACGGANCCAGGGA
rnacentral:rRNA from 1 species